AGCGAACGCUGGCGGCAGGCCUAACACAUGCAAGUCGAACGAACCUUUCGGGGUUAGUGGCGGACGGGUGAGUAACACGUGGGAACGUGCCUUUAGGUUCGGAAUAACUCAGGGAAACUUGUGCUAAUACCGAAUGUGCCCUUCGGGGGAAAGAUUAAUCGCCUUUAGAGCGGCCCGCGUCUGAUUAGCUAGUUGGUUGAGGUAAUGGGUCACCAAGGCGACGAUCAGUAGCUGGUCUGAGAGGAUGAUCAGCCACAUUGGGGCUGGGACACAGCCCAAACUCUUACGCGAUGCACGAGUGGGGGACGUUGCGAAGUCGGGUAAAUGAUGAAGGUGUUAUGACCGGAGAACUAUGUAAUUAUUAAGGUUCAAAUGUUCUAUUACCGGUGAACAUCAUGACGGUACCUGAUCAAAAAGCCACGGCUAACUACGUG
rnacentral:rRNA from 1 species